AUGCCUUAAACUUAUGAAUAAGGAAAACAACAAUUUGUGGUGACACCUGAAUCCUCACUGCUAAUGUGAAAUGUAUACUUUGAGGGAUGCCUGGGAGUUGCAAUCUGCCUAUCCC
rnacentral:snRNA from 1 species